rnacentral:tRNA from 1 species
UGCGGACAGGACAAACGGUUAAGUCGCAGGUCUCAUAAACCUUGAGGAAUCGGUUCAACUCCGAUGCCCGCAA